CCCUUGGAUGUUCUGGGCCGCACGCGCGCUACACUGAUGCAUUCAACGAGUCUAAAACCUGGUCUGAUAGGGCUGGGUAAUCUUUUGAAUGUGCAUCGUGAUUGGGAUAGAUGAUUGCAAUUCUUCAUCUUCAACGAGGAAUGCCUAGUAAACGCAAGUCAUCAGCUUGCAUUGAUUACGUCCCUGCCCUUUGUACACACCGCCCGUCGCUCCUACCGAUUGAAUGUUCCGAUGAAUACCAUGGACUGAGAGUAUGAAUGGGUUCGCCUAUUUCUGCUUCUCGGGGAGUGGAGUAAAUCUUAACAUUUAGAGGAAGGAGAAGUCGUAACA
rnacentral:rRNA from 1 species